rnacentral:rRNA from 1 species
AACCGCGAAAGUCUUCGGGGAGCCGUAAGUAGGCUUUGAUCCGGAGGUCUCCGAAUGGGGGAACCCAGCAUGUGCAGACAUGCUAUCCUUAAGUGAAUACAUAGCUUAAGGAGGGAACACGCAGUGAACUGAAACAUCUAAGUAGCUGCAGGAAGAGAAAGAAAUAUCGAUUUCCCAAGUAGCGGCGAGCGAACAGGAAAGAGCCCAAACCGGCAGAUUUAUCUGCCGGGGUUGUAGGACUGAGACAUGGCACUUCAGAGGAUAGCAGAAGCGUUUGGGAAAGCGCGCCAGAGAGGGUGAGAGCCCCGUAAGCGAAAUCCAAAGGAGGCCUAUCAGUAUCCUGAGUAGGGCGGGACACGUGAAAUCCCGUUUGAAUCCGCGAGGACCAUCUCGCAAGGCUAAAUACUAACCAGUGACCGAUAGUGAACCAGUACCGUGAGGGAAAGGUGAAAAGAACCCCGGGAGGGGAGUGAAA